CACGUAGGGCGCAAGCGUUGUCCGGAAUUAUUGGGCGUAAAGAGCUCGUAGGCGGACUGUCACGUCCGCUGUGAAAAGCUAGGGCUUAACCCUGGCCUUGCAGUGGAUACGGGCAGACUAGAGGUAGGUAGGGGAGAAUGGAAUUCCCGGUGUAGCGGUGAAAUGCGCAGAUAUCGGGAGGGACACCGGUGGCGAAGGCGGUUCUCUGGGCCUUACCUGACGCUGAGGAGCGAAAGCGUGGGGAGCGAACAGG
rnacentral:rRNA from 1 species